UGAGGAAUAUUGGUCAAUGGACGGAAGUCUGAACCAGCCAAGUAGCGUGCAGGAUGACGGCCCUCCGGGUUGUAAACUGCUUUUAGUUGGGAAUAAAAAGAGGGACGUGUCCCUAAUUGUAUGUACCUUCAGAAAAAGGACCGGCUAAUUCCGUGCCAGCAGCCGCGGUAAUACGGAAGGUCCAGGCGUUAUCCGGAUUUAUUGGGUUUAAAGGGAGCGUAGGCGGAUUAUUAAGUCAGUGGUGAUAGACGGUGGCUCAACCAUCGUUAGCCAUUGAAACUGGUAGUCUUGAGUGCAGACAGGGAUGCUGGAACUCGUGGUGUAGCGGUGAAAUGCUUAGAUAUCACGAUGAACUCCGAUCGCGAAGGCAGGUGUCCGGGCCGCAACUGACGCUGAGGCUCGAAAGUGUGGGUAUCAAACAGG
rnacentral:rRNA from 1 species